CUUCAAAAGUUCUCUAGCCUGCAUUUACGUCCAGCAAGUUCUUUAGAUAAUCUUGAGUUGAUUUUCUUAAGGUAGCGCGGAACCACAAUCCAGGUAAAUAUGUCGUCUGGUUGCCAAUCGCUUAGUUUAAGGUGAUGUACAAAGACAAAAAAGUUUGAAAGUUUGCUGUAUCACUAUUUUCUUUCCCUCUAUUUCUUUUUUCUUUUUUUCUUUUUUGUAAGUGUACAAAUUGAGGUGGCACCUAAAAAUUAUAGAAGAAGCUAAACCGUUCAGUUUCUGCUUUUGUCUAAGAUUCUCAGAAAAUUUGCUACAAGCAUGCCUAACCACAUAUGCAGCUGAGACAGCGGAGUACUGACGAAUCUGGAGACCCAGACAAAGAUCAACUGCCGGACUUCGUUCCAAGGACACAUUCUGAACUCAAAAAUGCCUGGCAAUAUGUUCUGAGAGAAUGUCUUCAGAAAAUAAGACGCUAGCAAACGCUACCACCUUCAGGUUAUUGAAAGGUUUUAUACCACCAUCAUCCGUCCAAAAUGGUGGAGGCUUUGGAGCCUUUUGGGGCAUCGUUACUUUAACCGCUAAGGUUCUUAGGAUAAUGAGAUUGGGUUUUCUAUUCUGUCUAUCCUUCUGGUGUCACAAUUUGUAGCAGAAAAUGUUGUUUGGUCUACGUAUUUUCAACUUCGUGUUGAUUCAUUACCAACCACCGCAGCCCUCUUUUACUCUUCACGUAUCAUUUCGAUUACGCAGCUGGCUGAAUCAUCUCAUUCUCGAGAUUACAAAGUUGUGAAGAAAACGAAGUGCUGAAUUGAGCAGUUGAAUUACUGUCAAAGCGUUUGGCUCACAAAAGAUGCCCUCAUCUCUGCACUGUCUUGUUGUUGAACUUGCUACAAUGAACGACUGUGGCAAUUCUGUAGCUUGUUUAGGCAUCCUCAGUGUAUGGGAUGCUUAGGCACGCUUCUUGUUUCCUAUUAGGAGGUUUUUGAAGUCUUCCGUGGUUGUUGAAGUCACAUUCUUCGUUAUAGAAAACUGUGAAUCCUCUGGUUCUUGUACUUUUUCCUUCGUCUGUUAAGAUCUAGAUCUCUUUCGGCUUGAAAAUUUGCAACUUCCAGUUUACGGUUACAGAUCGCAUCACCUUCUGUCUUAAGCAGCCGAUUAGUGGCAGCUUACACAGCUGGUAAGUUACUACCUAGAACCAAAAAAUUUGCAAAAAAGACAGAAAUGUUAGAUGUAAUGUUUUUAAGUUGUUUUAGGCUAAGCUUCAUAAACUUUAUGAAAACGUUUCAAUACUGUGAGAUGGCAGAAUCACUAGAUAUGCUGCGGUUGAAGUUCUAUUUCCCUCUGAAAAAUGUCUAAUGUCUUACAAAAAAUAUUGAAAUAUUCUUCUUCACUGAAAAUACAACCUUUACACACAUUCACAGAACAGGCAUUGACCGAAUUUCAAGAAACUGUCACCUUAUUGUGAUGACGAUUUGGUGCAAGUCAACUCAGCAUCCACGAAUGAACUCGUGUUCUAGGUUAAGAGGCACCAGACUGAUCAUUGGUGAUGUGCGGAGUGCUGCUUUUCUGUGAGCAGUUUCCACCAUUGGCGAACCAUCUUCACUUAAAGGUCAAAGAAUAGAGGCCAAAAGUUACGCUGAUGGUUGUGAUACGAAUCAAAAGCAUUGGAUUGCUGUACCAAUGCUAUAAGCACUGUAUUCAACUUUAAUUUUGAAUCUUCCGUUCAAAAUCUCUUGUUUGUUUGAAGU
rnacentral:lncRNA from 1 species